UGAUAUGUUUGCUAUGUUAGGU
rnacentral:miRNA from 1 species